GGGGGCAGCCGGCCCAUGGCAGGGGAUUGGAACUGGAUGAUCUUUAAGGUCCCCUCCAACCUAAGCCAUUCUAUGAUUCUGCAGCAGUGCUGUUUGGAGAGUUGCUUACCUAUGGAUUGGGUGCUGCUGAUGGCAGCUGGAGACCUAGCUGAAGGCAAGCACAGGGAAUUGUUUUACCUGGGCCCUGCAGGUGAAUGAUACAGAAACAAAGAGGGACAAAAAUUUGAAGAGGUGCGUCGGGGAAAGGAAGGAACUGCAAUGUGAACAGCUGGAACCGUCUAUGAAAGUCAACCCAAGCACCUCUUCCAACACCUGGGGCUACGGGUGACCUUCUAGGCUUUGCUGUUACACCAUUUCAGGAGCCCUCCUUCCCCCUGGGGCUGGCUCUGCUUGGAAGCGGCGGAGGCUGACACCUCCCGCUGAGCAGCCUUCCCUGCAGGAACGGCAGUCCUCUCGCGUUACUCUGGGGACACAACGCCUCGGUGCUGAUGGGACCAG
ensembl:lncRNA